UAUUAACCAGGUUUUCCGAAGGAAAAAACUGGUUAUUAGAUUGGCGAAUGCGGGCGGGCUGGCUGGCUGGCGGGCUGGCUGGCGGGCUGGCGGAAUAAGCUUGUCCGGGCCAUAACUAUGUCGUUCAUUGUCAGAUUUUAAAAUCAUUUGGCUCAUUUGUUCACCAUCAUUGGACGGUGUGUCGCGCGAAAUAAUUACGUCGAUAUCUCCAAGGUCAAGGUCACACUUUGAGUUCAAAGGUCAAAAAUGGCCAUAAAUGAGCUUGUCCUGGCCAUAACUAUUUCAUUCAUUGUGAGAUUUUAAAAUCAUUUGGCACAUUUGUUCACCAUCAUGGGACGGUGUGUCCCACGAAAGAAUCACGUCAAUAUCUCCAAUGUCAAGGUCGCCACGACUAAAAAUAGAUUUAAAAAAAAAAAAAAAUUACAAAGGGGGUUAAUUUUUUUUGGUCAUUUCAAAAGUU